AAGACAUUGAACGAAAUUUUAAUCGAUCCGCCGAGUCCCGUCGCCCCCCUCCCUCCUCUGUCUUUUAUUGGCUUCAAUCUUCGAAGCAGCUCCCCUCAAUUGACUCCUCCGCCAGCCACCGACCGCGCUAUCAUUCCCUUCUCCGUUCGUCCAUCCGCAGCUUGCGUUCCUCGACCCUCUCCGAUCCAGAAGGCUUCUUAUUCGACUCGAAGAGGCGGCGGAUGGCGACCCUCUGGUCGACUUGGUGGUCGUUGUUUGUUCUUCGGUUGUCCGUCGCUUCGGAUUCGGCUGGCCAUGGCUCCGUAGUGCGUCUGCGCUCUCCUUUUCUCAUAUUCGAUUGCUUUGGUGCUGUUCUGUAUUAUUUCCUUGAAGAUUUUUUAUUUCGAUCGUGAUCGCGUUCGCGUGGGACAUUCGGAAUUAGGGUUUUCGAGUUGAAGCCCGAUUAGGCAAUUAGGGUUGCAUGUGAUCAAAGCGGCCCACAAAGGAGCACGCCUUUAGAGAGAGAGAGAGAGAGAGAGAAAGAGGGUACGGCACUACCCGCCGACGCCGAGGUAGCUGGUGAACAUAUAGUAAAAACUUCUAGUUACAAAGCAGAGAAGACGAUAGUUACAAAGCAGAGUUGAGUCAUGCCAUCUAAAUUUCUAGCCUAUGAAAAGGAUGAUCAAGAAAAAAUGGGAAGUAAAUCUGCAGCCCAUGUCAGAAAAUUUUCAACUAGCUGUCAAUCCUCUCUAUUACCAAAAGUCAUGUACUGUGGGGAGAUUUUCCCUCUAGUGCAGCCAUGUACUCUCGCAAAGGAAUUAAAACUGCCAAUUUGGAAGAGCAAGAGCUUAUAGAAACCAAAUAGCUUGCAGCUACAAGAGGCUCAGAUUGCCACUCACGUUUCAGUUCCAGUUCGGUUCUAUCAGAGUAUCAUUUGAAAUCAAGCCAACUAUUAUUGAAGAGGAGCAGUUGAAAUUCAUGCCGAUCAGUCAGAAUUUGGAGGAAGCUGAUAAUAUCCUGGCUGAGGCUUUCCAAUCUGGCGUCAUUGAUUGGGGAUUGCUCGAGAGACUGAAGUAUCAUCAGAAAUGUGUGGUUCAUGAAGGAACCAAUAGACCCAAAUCAAUCAAGAACAAGUCUCCAGUGCUUUAUACAUUUGACACAUCCGCACAACACACUAGAGGAAAAGCUUGUCUCAAAUCUGAAAGCUUUGGUUCUCUUAAUCUCGAAAUGAAACAGCUAACUGUGGAUGAACAUUUUGAACAAUUGAAUGAUUCUAAUAAACAUGCUGCUGAUAGUCAUAUAUAUACAAUGAGUCCUGUUCAGAAUUGAAAACCGCAUGGGCUGAGUUUGUCCAUGCAUUCGGAUUGUGGAACUUCAGCUCCAACUUCCAAUCUUCUCUAUAAUACUUCAGCUGCCACACAUGAUACCACAGAGAUUCAAGCCACUAGAUUGCAAAUUGGAAAGGAGUUCCAAGAUUAUCCUCAUAAUCAAGGUUUAACAUAUUGUUUGUGGCAGCUACAUCAUGGCAGCAACAUACACAAUCAUCUAUGCGAGGAACCGUUUUGAGUCUUAUUUUGAUGACACCAUUUUAAUGGAAGGAAAUAAUUGUGAAAUUUCAAUUUUCCAUUUUGUGGAUGACAAAUUCAUUGAUGAAUCUCCUUGCCUUUCCAGCUCAUGUCCUUUCCCUUGUGUCAGUCUCAGCAGAGCAUCUAAUACUUUGCAAGCUGAGACUGAGAUCUCAACUGAAAAAUCAAAAACCCAAAUUGGUAGCCAGAAGCAAAUUUCUCAAAAUAGUCUCCAGCAUUUUUUAAUCCUUGCAGGUAAAGAAGAAAAAAAAACAGUGGAUGUGAUGUUUAAAGGAUGGUUCCUCUCCCGUAAAGCUGAAAACAGUGGAUGUCAAGUUAUAAAGUGAGGUGGAAUCCAUUGAGGAUGGUAUUUAACCCUUUGCUGAUGCCUAAUUUCCUCUUCACCUGCUCAGAGUUAUUUUAUAUAUGAAAAUGAAACAGUUCUGAUGUCUGAAAAACAACAUAUACUUCAAAUGACGAAUCCUGUUGAAAACAAAGAUUACUCACAAUGACAAUCAUGAUGCUAAGAUUUGGAAAGCUAUUCUUCAAAUUUCCUGGAAAAAUGGAGUGCCUUUGUUUAUGUUCUCAUCCUCACAUGGUGAUACUCUUGCAGCAUGCACACAAGUAUGAUUCCGAGUGCACUUGUACAAUAUUUAGUCUUAAUGAAGUUUAGAAGAUUGAUGCCUGGGCUAAUAUGGGAAAAAGGAGUAAUAAACACUGGUUGGUAUCUAAUAAUAUCAUUGGUAGGAUGAAUAUUUCCAGAACGAAGAAUCAUGACCUAAAAAAUCAUUAUUUCACAGGAGAGUUUGUGUUGUGUAUGGUGCUGAACCAACACCAUUUCAUCUACUUGUGCUCAUUCUUCAAGGUUCCUGAAGAAACGCCAGAAAGUUGUGAUUCUGUGCUGCACCCCAGCAACCUCAGUGAUUCUUUUGAAGAGAGAAGUAAGACUGCAAGGUGAUCGGGACAGUAGUAACUCAGAUCUAUGCAUUAUGGUAAUUCGACUUCCAAGUGGAGUUCAUGGUCCGUCAAUUGAUGGCAAACCUCCACCUAUGAUCCAAAGAUGGAAACCAGGAGGAAAAUGUGACCGAGGGACUGUCCAAACCUCAACACUGGGGAACAGUGUGGUCGACUAAAGCUGUUCCUUCAGGGCGGAUCACGGGCAAAUGCUCAUCACGCCUUCCACAUGAUCUCGUCUUUCAUUUCUUGUAUUCAAGCUUUUGCAAUUUGCUUAGCAGCUCUGCACUGUUGGGCCCUGCCAUUCAUUCUGCUGCGUUAAGAAAGUUGUCACUGCCAGAUAAAAGAUCUCCUCCCACUAGUUAUCAACUUCACUGCCCCCCUCUGUCUCCUGUCGGGAGAGCGUAGUUGUCUCUGAAUCAUUGUGGGUGGAGGAGGUAAGUUAAUGAGGAAACAUGCUUUAUGACAUUUUUUCUGAUCCUGCUUGGAUUAGCCACUAUUUGUAUACAUUGACUUGUCAUAGUUUAAUUAGGUGCAUGGGUAAAAAAACAGAAGAAAUUACGUUCCA